rnacentral:lncRNA from 1 species
GCGUCUACUAGAGCCAAUUCAAUAGUCAUCAGACUGGUUGGUGCGUCAUUCUGGGAGUGCAUUUCUGCUGUCUUGCCUUCUCCUGUUCAGAAAUAAGGCCUAUGUCAGAUGGCUUCAUUGUAACUAUGGUAGAGAAGGAUGUGCCUUUUAACUGUUAACCGGUUUGUAUGGUGUUGUACAGUUCAAGUCAAAACUAUCAAAUAUGUAGGAUAGUUAUGAAUAUAAGCAGUACAUUAACUAUGCAAACCUUUCAAGCCUUCCCCUCUGGUUUACUCUCUUGAAUUUUGACUUAUGAUUUGUCAUCUGUCUAACAUUUUUGUGUGCUACAUCUUAACUGUUAAUAUUUAGCAAAAUAAUAGAUGUGAUAUAUAUUGUUUUAAUUCUUAACAAUAUUUAGUGCCCAAAUAGGUAAUAUAUUUCCACUAUCAUUCUCCCAGAAUGCCAAACCUUUUUUUUUUUGUCCUUCUGUUUCUGAAAAACCCAUUGUUUGCAGGGAAUGGCAUGCAGGCCUAAUACUCAUCGACCAAGCUUUCAUGUAAACAUGGUUGGUUUGGAUAAGCCAGGGCGGAGAUCAAACUGCUCUAGUUGUUCAUGGGGGUUGGAUGCUGAGAUGAUUGUGGGUGAUGAUCAAUUUGAUCUAUGGCUUCAGCAGGUCUUGGCAUCUGGUGUCUUUUCUGAGACUCCCAAACGUAGAAAAAGUUGGAGCCUGUUUAAGAUACAUCAGAAAGGUUUGAAACAAUGGCGGAGAUUCCAAUGAAUGCAAUUUAAGACUAGAACACGGUUAUAUCUUCAUCAGAGAAGAUCUUAUAUAUCCGAACUUAAAAGAAAGGAAGAAAAACAUGACACCAAAAGAAUCAUGUGCCUGUAAAUAGAUCAAAGCAUCUCUUCUAGGUCUGCAGGUCUCUCCAAUUGGGAAGGGGGAAAAGGAAAAACAAAAGGUAGCAGUAUAACAGCUCUGAAAUCGUGAGCUCUUAUCCAAGAGGAGCUAAUUUAUGCCCUUAUCAUGAAUAGUGCAGUAGCAAGGACUGCUGCUUUAAUGUAUCCAUUCCUAGAAAAUUUUACGGUUAACACCAAUUUAUGGCUUCAACCCCCAUAGUUCUGAUAUCUGGCCUCUUCCUUGAGGCCUUGAAAUGUGGAAAUGGCUGUCUGUCUCUGAUGCGCCAGAAGAAGGGCAUGGAAUCUUGCAUAGUUGGAUGGUGGACAUGCAGAAUAUGAACUAUGGGGUGCAUAGGGUCUGUUUCCUCCCAUCUUUUGAGGAGAAAUAAAGAAAAAGGAAUCAUAGUUAAGAAAAGAAAGGGACGAUGUGUAUAUAGAUGAAAGGCAUGUCAUGAAGGUAAGCAAUGGUUUUUCAAAAAUAUUGUACAAUAAGAUGACCAGGUGAACACAAUAUAAAUUUCAGGUCUGUCGGGCAAAGGGCCUCGAUCGAGCUUGUAAGGAAUUACCAGUGAUCGAAGUUUCAAGUGGGGCUCUUCACCUGUUCAUGCUUUCUUACCAUUUGCAUUGUAACAUUUGUUUAUUCUAAACAAUGAUCUGCAUGUUCCAUAUUAAAAGAAAAUUAUAAGAGUAAUGAUGUUUUUUCCUUUAAUUUUCUAUAUGAGGCCAAGCAUCUUUCUAUUCCCAUGUGGUAAUUCAUGUUUGUGAUGAACGGGCACAAGAUCUCUUCGACCAUAGAACCCUUUUAGUUUAUUUUUCAAGGAAAAGAGCCUCCAAUUUGUCAAAUGGCAGAUGUUUUAAAACCAGAGUGGCUGGUCUGUUCUCUCUUCAGCAAGUUUUCUAAAGCUAAUACCCAUGCUGUUUUGGUGGAUGACUGGUACCAAUAUGAACAAAGAUUGAUUUAUUUCAUUUGACAUAGCAAAGAAAAGAUUAAUAACUACACUGAGUUUAAUUUCAAAAUAGGAAAAUACAGAUAAAAAUUCUCAAAAGAUAUGUGCAUAAUUAAAAAGUUGUUAGCUUAUAUUGGCUCAGAUAAAAGGGUUCAUAUAUUCAUUGUAUUCGUAAUUGCCAGGCUGAGAAAAUAAAAAACCUUGCUCCUUAGUGCUGCCAGGCUAAAAUAGCUUUUUUUUCUUUUUUUUUGGGUAAAAGCAGGCUAAAAUAGUCUGAAGCUUGUUCUCAUAAGACUUGAAAAAGGAAAUUAGCUACUGUACUUAGGAAUUGUAGCAGUAGCAAUGAAACUUCUUUGUUAGGAUAAUAUAUUGCCGCAACAAUUCAUAGAGCUAAUCAAAUCAAACUUACAUUCAAAUUCCAAGAUCCUUGAGGUUUGCACUUCUCUUCCCAUUGGACCUGGCACUCGUUUGAAGUCAAAUUUCAGAGAUCAGUUUGAACAAGCUUGCUCUCCAUUAGCCAACCAAGGCACCUUUUCCAACUUUUUGAGGCCCUAGGCCACAAACGUAAGCCAUUA